rnacentral:rRNA from 1 species
UACGUAGGGUGCAAGCGUUAAUCGGAAUUACUGGGCGUAAAGGGUGCGCAGGCGGUCGUGUGUGUCAGGUGUGAAAUCCCGGGGCUUAACCCCGGAACUGCGCCUGAAACUACAUGACUAGAGCAUUGGAGAGGGUAGCGGAAUUCACGGUGUAGCAGUGAAAUGCGUAGAUAUCGGGAGGAACACCAGAGGCGAAGGCGGCUACCUGGACAAUUGCUGACGCUCAGGCACGAAAGCGUGGGGAGCAAAAGGG